UGGGGAAUAUUGCACAAUGGGCGCAAGCCUGAUGCAGCCAUGCCGCGGGUGUGAAGAAGGCCUUCGGGUUGUAAAGCACUUUCAGCGGGGAGGAAGGCGGUGAGGUUAAUAACCUCAUCGAUUGACGUUACCCGCAGAAGAAGCACCGGCUAACUCCGUGCCAGCAGCCGCGGUAAUACGGAGGGUGCAAGCGUUAAUCGGAAUUACUGGGCGUAAAGCGCACGCAGGCGGUCUGUCAAGUCGGAUGUGAAAUCCCCGGGCUCAACCUGGGAACUGCAUUCGAAACUGGUAGGCUAGAGUCUUGUAGGGGGGGGUAGAAUUCCAGGUGUAGCGGUGAAAUGCGUAGAGAUCUGGAGGAAUACCGGUGGCGAAGGCGGCCCCCUGGACAAAGUCUGACGCUCAGGUGCGAAAGCGUGGGGAGCAAACAGG
rnacentral:rRNA from 1 species